GCCAGCAUAGCCUAGUGGUAAGGUGCAGGGCUUAUGACCAAAAGGUUGCUGGUUCAGUUCCCUGCUGGAG